rnacentral:rRNA from 1 species
ACCUGGGAACUGCAUUGGAGACUGCAAGGCUAGAGUGUGUCAGAGGGGGGUAGAAUUCCACGUGUAGCAGUGAAAUGCGUAGAUAUGUGGAGGAAUACCGAUGGCGAAGGCAGCCCCCUGGGAUAACACUGACGCUCAUGCACGAAAGCGUGGGGAGCAAACAGGAUUAGAUACCCUGGUAGUCCACGCCCUAAACGAUGUCAACUAGUUGUCGGGUCUUAAUUGACUUGGUAACGCAGCUAACGCGUGAAGUUGACCGCCUGGGGAGUACGGUCGCAAGAUUAAAACUCAAAGGAAUUGACGGGGACCCGCACAAGCGGUGGAUGAUGUGGAUUAAUUCGAUGCAACGCGAAAAACCUUACCUACCCUUGACAUGGCAGGAAUCCUGAAGAGAUUUGGGAGUGCUCG